GAUUAUGGCUCUCCACCCUCUACCCCAGGCCGGCCAUCUUCUCUGUCUCCGUCUCCAGAGGGGAUCCGGCUGAGCAGCGCCUGCUUUUUGACUUGGCUGAAGGAACAGACCACAGCCACUCUACCCGCCCCUCUGGGAAGACAGUCACGGCAGUUCUCUGUUCCACUGGCACUGAACUACAGUCUGGGUUCUGGAAAAUACACAUAGAGAUGCCCAGUAAUACAAUAUUGAGGAAUUGCAAGCCCUGUUCCCAUCCCCUUUCAAGAUGCAGAGGUGAGCAGAAUGGACCGC